rnacentral:rRNA from 1 species
CGGGUUGCUUGAGAGUGCAGCCCUAAGCGGGUGGUAAACUCCAUCUAAGGCUAAAUAUGACCACGAGACCGAUAGCGAACAAGUACCGUGAGGGAAAGUUGAAAAGAACUUUGAAGAGAGAGUUCAAAAGUACGUGAAACCGUUCAGGGGUAAACCUGAGAAACCCGAAAGGUCGAAAGGGGAGAUUCAACCGCGUCUCUGGCAGUAGGCGAGCGGUAGACAUGGCGACGGGCGGGCGUUUCGGCGCUCGUUCCGCGCCGUCUACAUUGCCGGUCCGACCCCGAACGCGUGCACUUCUCCCCCGGUAGGAUGUCGCGACCCGUCGGGUGCCGGCCUAAGGCCCGCGGUGGAGCCCGUGAGCCUCGCGCUCUCGGACCCGCGGUCGCCCGGCCGGCGCGCCACCGAACCGACGGCAUAACAGUGGCGAGGGGCCGCGAUCGAAAGACCGUUCGCGUCCGGCACGUCGCAAGCUCGUACGGUAGUAAACCCGAAAUCCGGACCUGGCGCCGGAUCCGGGCCCGUACGGCUGCUGGCGACGUUGUCCUCGGACAGACCCCGUUCACGCCCGUCCGCGACUCUAUAGCUUCGGGUACUUUCAGGACCCGUCUUGAAACACGGACCAAGGAGUCUAGCAUGUGCGCGAGUCGUUGGGACUUUGCGAAUCCUAAAGGCGUAAUGAAAGUGAAAGUCUCUUCUAAAGAGACGGAGGGAGGAUGGGCCGUCCCACGGGUCGGCCCCGCACUCCCGGGGCGUCUCGUUCUCAUAGCGAGAAGAGGCGCACCCAGAGCGUACUCGCUGGGACCCGAAAGAUGGUGAACUAUGCCUGGUCAGGACGAAGUCAGGGGAAACCCUGAUGGAGGUCCGUAGCGAUUCUGACGUGCAAAUCGAUCGUCGGAACUGGGUAUAGGGGCGAAAGACUAAUCGAACCAUCUAGUAGCUGGUUCCCUCCGAAGUUUCCCUCAGGAUAGCUGGCGCUCGCCACGUGCGAGUCUCAUCCGGUAAAGCGAAUGAUUAGAGGCAUUGGGGUCGAAACGGCCUCAACCUAUUCUCAAACUUUAAAUGGGUGAGAUCUCCGGCUUGCUUGAACGGUGAAGCCGCGAGAUUUCGGAUCAGAG